CCUACGGGUGGCAGCAGUAGGGGAUCUUUCACAAUGGGCGAAAGCCUGAUGUAGCGACGCCGCGUGCAGGAUGAAGGCCUUCGGGUUGUAAACUGCUUUUAUAAGCGAGAAAUAUGAUGGUAACUUAUGAAUAAGGCUCGGCUAACUACGUGCCAGCAGCCGCGGUCAUACGUAGGAGCCGAGCAUUAUCCGGAUUGACUGGGUGUAAAGAGUUGGGUAGGUGGAAUAAUAAGUAGCGAGGGAAAUCUGGUGGCCCAACCAUUCAGACUAUUAGCUAAACUGUUAAGCUCGAGAGCGUUAGGGGUAACUGGAAUUUCUAGUGUAGGAGUGAAAUCCGUAGAUAUUAGAAAGAACACCAAUAGCGUAGGCAGGUUACUGGGACGGUUCUGACACUAAGGCACGAAAGCGUAGGGAGCAAACGGGAUUAGAUACCCGAGUAGUC
rnacentral:rRNA from 1 species